AGCGGAGUGGGGCCACAGAACACAUUGGAAGGAGCUGCUGGAUUGGUCGCAUUUUGACAUAGUAUCGAAGCAAAUCUCAUUCUCUGUGGCAUAUUUUACUGUUUUCUCUACAUCAUGAAGUGCCUGAUCAUACAAUUCUGGAUGUUGGCUCUACUGGUCUCCCAGGCUCAGGCUAAUGUGACAGAGACUGUGCCAACAAGUAUAGAUUCUACAACUAAAACUACAACGCCAACAAGUGUAGAUUCUACAACUAAAACUACAACUCAACCCAUGACUACGCCAACGAGUGUAGAUUCUGCAACUAAAACUACAACUCAACCCAUGACUACGCCAACAAGUGUAGAUUCUACAACUACAACUACAACUCAACCCAUGACUACGCCAACAAGUGUAGAUUCUGCAACUAAAACUACAACUCAACCCAUGACUAGGCCAACAAGUGUAGAUUCUGCAACUAAAACUACAACUCAACCCAUGACUACGCCAACAAGUGUAGAUUCUACAACUUCAACUACAGCUCAUCCCACUGUGCCAAUAAGUGUAGAUUCUACAACUAAAACUACAACUCAACCCAUGACUACGCCAACAAGUGUAGAUUCUACAACUAAAACUACAACUCAACCCAUGACUACGCCAACAAGUGUAGAUUCUGCAACUAAAACUACAACUCAACCCAUGACUACGCCAAUGAGAGUAGAUUCUACAACUACAACUACGGCAUCAUCCAGCAACUCACUGACAGUUUCCGUCAUCAGCUAUACUCUUUCCAUCCUGCUUUACAUGCUGUUGAAUUGA
rnacentral:lncRNA from 1 species